GGCCGGGGCUCGGCCGGCGCCUGCCUGGCGCCUGCCUGCCGCCUGCCUGCCGCCUGCCUGCCUGCCGCCUGCCUGCCGCCUGCCUGCCUGCCGCCUGCCUGCCGCCGCACGCCCAGCGGGGCGCUUGGAGUGGCCGUAAUGAAACAAAGGCCUGUGUCUUGUGCCUCCCGCGCCGCCGUAGGCAGCGGGAGAGCGCUAGUUGUGGGGGUUACCCCGGAACGCACCGAAGAGGUGCGUGAGGUAGAAAUCACUCAGCUGUGAUCAUCUGAUUGGAGAUGAAAGAAAUAUACGAGUUCUCAGUAACAGUUAUUUUUUUUUUUUUUUUAAGAAGAAAAACAGCAGUAAGGAAGAUCAAGGGAAUAAAAAGGAAAUAAAAUGAGGAGACCGUGGCUCGAGUAAAUCCCCUUCAAGUGCAGUGACCGCUUUCUUUCGGCUGUGAGAGCCCCUCGCUCUCUCAGGCCGAAGGAGAGGAGGGGUCUGAGGAGCCGCUCGGGGUGAACAACUCCAAAAUCCAAACAGAAGAGAUAACACCUGCCAGGUCCAUGAGGAAUUGCAUAGGCUAGCUAAGGUCUUCCUAUCCUACCCAGUCUGAAAGCAGCAGAGCUUUGGGAUACCACAAGUUAUGGAGAUUUUCAAAGAAAUCUUGCUUUCACUUUCUUAAACAUCACAGGCUGAAAGCAUGGAAGAGGUGAUGAAAAUAACAAGACAAGCAAAGCAGAGUGAACAUUUGCACUUCUAUCUUAAAGUGCAUUUCAAGACCCUGUAAAAAUGUGUCUUCUGACUUGUGCAGACCAGGCCUGGGUGUGUUGCUGCCCUGGCCAACAUGAGGGAGUGCAAGUGUGAGUGCUUCGCUUCUUGUCCUCAUGGCUUGGAAAGGCACACAAGAUGCGGGGGUCUGCAUGCCAGAGGAGAUUGGGAAAAGCAACGACCACUCAAUAUGAGUGCGAAUGCAAGUCCGUUUAUUGUCUACAAAGCCAACUUAUUGCAUGAGACAGGCAUGUAUUUCCCCUUGUGGAUCUUCCGACAAAAACUAGAGACUGUGAAAAAUAAUAUCUGAC